CAUGUAGGCGGAGGUUCCAGGUAAAUCCGGUACCUUUUUAACGCUGAGGUGUGAUGACGAGGCACUACGGUGCUGAAGUAACAAAUGCCCUGCUUCCAGGAAAAGCCUCUAAGCAUCAGGUAACAUUAAAUCGUACCCCAAACCGACACAGGUGGUCAGGUAGAGAAUACCAAGGCGCUUGAGAGAACUCGGGUGAAGGAACUAGGCAAAAUGGUGCCGUAACUUCGGGAGAAGGCACGCUGAUAUGUAGGUGAA
rnacentral:rRNA from 1 species